rnacentral:rRNA from 1 species
UACGUAGGCAGCAAGCGUUGUUCGGAAUUACUGGGCGUAAAGAGUGCGUAGGUGGUUGGCUAAGUUUGGUGUGAAAUCUCCCGGCUCAACUGGGAGGGUGCGCCGAAAACUGGCUGACUAGAGUGUGGGAGAGGGAAGUGGAAUUCCUGGUGUAGCGGUGAAAUGCGUAGAUAUCAGGAGGAACACCUGCGGUGUAGACGGCUUCCUGGACCAUGACUGACACUGAGGCACGAAAGCGUGGGGAGCAAACAGG